rnacentral:tRNA from 1 species
GACUGGCGUUUAGCCAGAGCAGGGGAUUGAAAAUCCCCGUGUCGGCGGUUCGAUUCCGUCUCUGGGCACCA